rnacentral:rRNA from 1 species
CCUACGGGUGGCUGCAGUGGGGAAUUUUGGACAAUGGGGGCAACCCUGAUCCAGCCAUGCCGCGUGAGUGAAGAAGGCCUUCGGGUUGUAAAGCUCUUUCGGCCGGGAAGAAAUCGCUCAAGCUAAUACCUUGGGUGGAUGACGGUACCGGAAGAAGAAGCACCGGCUAACUCCGUGCCAGCAGCCGCGGUAAUACGUAGGGUGCGAGCGUGCAUCGGAAUUACUGAGCGUAAAGCGUAAGACGGAGGUGAAAUCCCCGGGCUUAACCUGGGAACGGCGUUUGUGACUGUGGUGCUCGAGUGCGGCAGAGGGGGGUGGAAUUCCACGUGUAGCAGUGAAAUGCGUAGAGAUGUGGAGGAACACCGAUGGCGAAGGCAGCCCCCUGGGUCGACACUGACGCUCAUGCACGAAAGCGUGGGGAGCAAACAGGAUUAGAUACCCUAGUAGUC